CCCUGGUGCAGCCAUGCCGCGUGUAUGAAGAAGGCCUUCGGGUUGUAAAGUACUUUCAGCGAGGAGGAAGGUGUUGUGGUUAAUAACCGCAGCGAUUGACGUUACUCGCAGAAGAAGCACCGGCUAACUCCGUGCCAGCAGCCGCGGUACUAG
rnacentral:rRNA from 1 species